UACGGGGGGGGCAAGCGUUGUUCGGAAUUACUGGGCGUAAAGGGCGCGUAGGCGGCCCGCUAAGUCGAACGUGAAAUCCCCGAGCUCAACUCGGGAACUGCGUCCGAUACUGGUGGGCUUGAAUCCGGGAGAGGGAUGCGGAAUUCCAGGUGUAGCGGUGAAAUGCGUAGAUAUCUGGAGGAACACCGGUGGCGAAGGCGGCAUCCUGGACCGGCAUUGACGCUGAGGCGCGAAGGCUAGGGGAGCAAACGGG
rnacentral:rRNA from 1 species